GAUGAACGCUAGCUACAGGCUUAACACAUGCAAGUCGGGGGGUAACGAGAGGAAAGCUUGCUUUCCUUGUCGACGACCGGCGCACGGGUGAGUAACGCGUAUCCAACCUGCCCCCAACUAGGGAAUAACCUUGCGAAAGUAAGACUAAUACCCUAUAAUUUCCUCAGAUGUCAUCUGACGAGGAAUAAAGAUUUAUCGGUUGUGGAUGGGGAUGCGUCUGAUUAGCUUGUUGGCGGGGUAACGGCCCACCAAGGCAACGAUCAGUAGGGGUUCAGAGAGGAAGGUCCCCCACAUUGGAACGGAGACACGGUCCAAACUCCUACGGGAGGCAGCAGUGAGGAAUAUUGGUCAAUGGGCGGAAGCCUGAACCAGCCAAGUAGCGUGCAGGAUGACGGCCCUAUUGUUUGUAAACUGCUUUUAUACAGGAAUAAAGUUAGCCACGUGUGGUUAUUUGUAGGUACUGUAUGAAUAAGGACCGGCUAAUUCCGUGCCAGCCGCCGCAGUAA
rnacentral:rRNA from 1 species